rnacentral:rRNA from 1 species
GACAGAGGGUGCAAACGUUGUUCGGAAUUACUGGGCGUAAAGCGCGUGUAGGCUGCUCGGAAAGUCGGAUGUGAAAGCCCUGGGCUUAACCCAGGAAGUGCAUUCGAAACUUCCAAGCUCGAGUCCUGGAGAGGGUCGCGGAAUUCUCGGUGUAGAGGUGAAAUUCGUAGAUAUCGAGAGGAACACCGGUGGCGAAGGCGGCGACCUGGACAGUGACUGACGCUGAGACGCGAAAGCGUGGGGAGCAAACAGG